AAAAAUAACUGUAUUAUAAAAUAAGUGAAUAAGAUGUAACAACGGUUGAAAUUAGUUUUUGUUUCUAGUGUGUGGAGAAGGUUUUAUCAUGGCACACAUCUGUUUACAUCGGAGGAAACUCCUCAUGUGAUGCGACAUUUAGCAAUUUGCAAGUGUGCAGCACAUCAGAAGAAUGACUAUGAAAUUACAAAGGGAAACAAUUUUACUGACAAAGGAUGAACAAAAAGCAGCUCCCACAGCUGAGCAAAAGAAAUGGCUGAAAUGCGGAGCGCAACUAAAAGACGACUUGAUGAUUUGUGAAGGAAAACCAAUACUUCCAAAAUCUCUACACAAAACAGCAGCCUUAGUGACACAUGGAGUUACCCUCCAUGCGUCAACAGGAGGGAUAAGAGAUAUAAUCUCCAAAACACACUCUAAAUUUCGAAACUUCAGCAAAAUGCUUAUGUAACCAUUUUAUUCCAACAUAUAGCAUCCCCACUCUGAUAAGAUCAGAUAAUGGGACACACUUUGUCAAUGAGGUAAUCAGCAAAGUCUCUGAAGCACUAGGGUUCAACAUCAAAUAUCACUGUGCUUACCAUCCUCAAAGUGCCGGCCUAGCGGAAAGAACUAACGGCACAGAGACUUAGAAAAUGCAUGGAAGAAACAGGAAGACCGUGGCCAGAGUGUAUAGGCCUAGUAAAAAUGUGGAUGAGAUUAACCCAAUGCUCGCAGAAACUGACACCAUUUGAAAUUGUACAUGGUAGACCUUUUCCUCUGCUCAUCACCAGUGAACCAAUAGACAAGUCAGUCAGAGAAACAACCCUAGCAGAAUGGAUGACAAAACUGCUAGAGAACAAAGAAAUAGUUCUGAGCAACCAACUGCCGAAUGAUUCUUCUCCAGUCUCUUCCAGGUUGAAACCAGGCGACUGGAUCCUGAUCAAGGUACUCCAGAGGAAAAACUGGAGCUCUCCGAGGUGGGAGGGCCCUUUUCAGGUCCUGCUAACGACGCCAACAGCGUGCAAGACCGCUGAAAGACCUUCGUGGAUCCACCAGAGCCACACCAAAAAAGUACAAGGGGACACAAGCCCAGACGCCAGUUCACCUGUCAUCUAGUGAUCUGUAAGUGGAGGAGAGGGCAGAUUGGGUAUACCCCGCCCUCUUGACUUCUCGCUUUCAGUCAACACACUAGGUGAUCUGGUGAACUUGGUCGACCUGAAGAAACCCCAUUGUAACCCGAGCACCGACCUUGCCCCACCUGCCCGGUAGAGUAACAGGAGAUCAGUCCGACCUGCAAAACCAGAAGAGCAACCCAUCACUCAAGUAACUACUCAGACACUUAUAAACAAUGCCCGACACAGAUGUGCAAAAUGAACAUUCAGACAUUUCAGAUGGAGAGGACCCAGUCCCCAACAGGACUCGACGACGAUGCUGGUCAGAGGAAUGCCAACUAAUGCAUAAUUAUGUACCCCAUAACAAAACUGAAAUGGCAUUCUUUGUAAACCUACUACAAACUCUAGAAACAGUAAUGAAUACAAGUCUGCGUGCAUGUGCUCCAAAAGAACCAAUAAAGAACUUAACAACACUUCCGGUCACACCGCCCGAACUAGCCCAUAACAUGACCAUGGUCUGCCUAUGGAGACUUAGAGUCCCAGAAAAGCAGGGUGUAUCUUUUGUUUAUCCAAAUAAGACACUGCAACCGAAUCUUCCUGGCACAAGCUUAUAGCCCGAUAGCAACUGAAGAAGAAGAAGACUGUGUUUAAGAAUUUCUUGCACUUAACAUGACGUAGCAAUUGAAAAUGUGCAAACAAGUGAUUGUCUACUGAAGCCUAUGAAGUAUGAGUGAAAUAUAUUAACAACAGGAGGGAAUGUUAUGAGAUUCUAUGUUUUUAUGUGUUUUAUUCUUUGUUUUAUUAUCUUUUAAUAUUCAAGCAUAUUGUAAAGUGUUUAUAUAUUUCACAGAAUUUGCUGUACUUUCCCAUGUCACAAGAUUCGAUGUAUUGCUCCAUUGUCAUGCAACCCGACAGUGAACUCUGCAAUACAUAUAGUUUAAGCAGGAAACAGAUGCGGGUCACCCAGACUACAAUAGAAAACGGAUGAGGCACCUAAACCACAACAGGAAAACAGAUGCGCGACUCCCUAACCACAAAAGA
ensembl:lncRNA